rnacentral:rRNA from 1 species
CUACGGGAGGCUGCAGUAAGGAAUAUUGCGCAAUGGAGGCAACUCUGACGCAGCCAUGCCGCGUGCAGGAAGAAGGCCUUAUGGGUCGUAAACUGCUUUUAUUUAGGAAUAAACCCCCGAACGUGUUCGGGGCUGAAGGUACUAAACGAAUAAGCACCGGCUAACUCCGUGCCAGCAGCCGCGGUAAUACGGAGGGUGCAAGCGUUAUCCGGAUUUAUUGGGUUUAAAGGGUGCGCAGGCGGGCUAUUAAGUCAGUGGUGAAAUCCCGGGGCUCAACUCCGGAACUGCCAUUGAUACUGAUAGUCUUGAGUUUGGUUGAAGUGGGCGGAAUGUAGCAUGUAGCGGUGAAAUGCAUAGAUAUGCUACAGAACACCAAUCGCGAAGGCAGCUCACUAAGCCAAAACUGACGCUCAUGCACGAAAGCGUGGGGAUCAAACAGGAUUAGAUACCCUGGUAGUC